GAUAGAAUAAGCUAAGUUUAAGCUACUGGGCUCAUACCCCAGGUAUGAAUUUUAUGUUCUUCUAUCA
rnacentral:tRNA from 1 species